GUGCCAUUCGGGACAAGGCCUAACUCUAACCAAACACUAUAGCAUGAGACUGGAUUUAUAAUGGGUUGAAUUUGUUAAAUAUACAGGAUACGAUACUUAUAGCGUUUCGCAACAAAACGCAUUUUAAUACACACCUAUGAUUCUAUUAAUUUAAAAUCUGAAAACAGUAAUAUUUUACAAACACAAAAAGGUACCUAUAAGCAUUCGUUUCUCGUGAAAAAUGUGUAUAUAUAGCUUUUUUUUUUUACUCUUCAACCACAACCCUAAUGUUGGUUUAUGCUACUUUUAUCUUACUUUUUAUUCAGCUUUUCUCUUUGAUCAUGAAAGGUGCUGGAGCUUGGCUCUCCCUUUAACCCAAGGUGCUGGAGCUUGGCUCUCCCUUUAACCCAAGGUGCAGGAGCUUGGCUCUCCCUUUAACCCAAGGUGCUGGAGCUUGGCUCUCCCUUUAACCCAAGGUGCAGGAGCUUGGCUCUCCCUUUAACCCAAGGUGCUGGAGCUUGGCUCUCCCUUUAACCCAAGGUGCAGGAGCUUGGCUCUCCCUUUAACCCAAGGUGCUGGAGCUUGGCUCUCCCUUUAACCCAAGGUGCUGGAGCUUGGCUCUCC
ensembl:lncRNA